ACUCCUACGGGAGGCAGCAGUGGGGAAUAUUGGACAAUGGGGGAACCCGUGAUCCAGCCAUGCCGCGUGUGUGAAGAAGGCCUUUGGUUGUAAAGCACUUUAAGCGAGGAGGAGGCUACCGAGAUUAAUACUCUUGGAUAGUGGACGUUACUCGCAGAAUAAGCACCGGCUAACUCUGUGCCAGCAGCCGCGGUAAUACAGAGGGUGCAAGCGUUAAUCGGAUUUACUGGGCGUAAAGCGCGCGUAGGUGGCCAAUUAAGUCAAAUGUGAAAUCCCCGAGCUUAACUUGGGAAUUGCAUUCGAUACUGGUUGGCUAGAGUAUGGGAGAGGAUGGUAGAAUUCCAGGUGUAGCGGUGAAAUGCGUAGAGAUCUGGAGGAAUACCGAUGGCGAAGGCAGCCAUCUGGCCUAAUACUGACACUGAGGUGCGAAAGCAUGGGGAGCAAACAGGAUUAGAUACCCUGGUAGACUGUCA
rnacentral:rRNA from 1 species